AUUGAACGCUGGCGGCAUGCCUUACACAUGCAAGUCGAACGGCAGCAUGGAGAGCUUGCUCUCUGAUGGCGAGUGGCGAACGGGUGAGUAAUGCAUCGGAACGUACCGUGUAAUGGGGAUACCGUAGCGAAAGUAACGCUAAUACCGCAUACGACCUGAGGGGGAAAGCAGGGGAUCGCAAGACCUUGCGUUAUACGAGCGGCCGAUGUCAGAUUAGCGAGUUGGUGAGGUAAAGGCUCACCAAGGCGACGAUCUGUAGCGGGUCUGAGAGGAUGAUCCGCCACACUGGGACUGAGACACGGCCCAGACUCCUACGGGAGGCAGCAGUGGGGAAUUUUGGACAAUGGGGGCAACCCUGAUCCAGCCAUGCCGCGUGAGUGAAGAAGGCCUUCGGGUUGUAAAGCUCUUUCGGCCGGGAAGAAAUCGCACAGGCUAAUACUCUGUGUGGAUGACGGUACCGGCAUAAGAAGCACCGGCUAACUACGUGCCAGCAGCCGCGGUAA
rnacentral:rRNA from 1 species